AACGAACGCUGGCGGCAGGCUUAACACAUGCAAGUCGAGCGCCCCGCAAGGGGAGCGGCAGCCGGGUGAGUAACGCGUGGGAACGUACCUUUUGGUUCGGAACAACUCCGGGAAACUGGAGCUAAUACCGGAUAAGCCCUAACGGGGAAAGAUUUAUCGCCGAAAGAUCGGCCCGCGUCUGAUUAGCUAGUUGGUGAGGUAACGGCUCACCAAGGCGACGAUCAGUAGCUGGUCUGAGAGGAUGAUCAGCCACACUGGGACUGAGACACGGCCCAGACUCCUACGGGAGGCAGCAGUGGGGAAUAUUGGACAAUGGGCGCAAGCCUGAUCCAGCCAUGCCGCGUGAGUGAUGAAGGCCUUAGGGUUGUAAAGCUCUUUUGCCCGGGAAGAUAAUGACUGUACCGGAAGAAUAAGCCCCGGCUAACUUCGUG
rnacentral:rRNA from 1 species